UGGGGUGUAGCUCAGUAGUAAAGCACAUGCCUACUAUGUAUGAGGCUCUGGGUUUGAUGCCAAGUACCACAA
rnacentral:tRNA from 1 species